rnacentral:lncRNA from 1 species
GCCCGCCUAAGUGAAGCCCCACUGGACCCCAGGGACAGAUCCACACCAGCUCUCCAGGUAGGGAGGCUGGGUGGAUAUUUAAUAUUAAUAAUUUGUGUGUAUAUGUGUUUGUCUCUAAGUGUAUGUGUGUGUGUGUCUGUAAGUGUAUGUGUGUGUGUGUGUGUGUGUCUGUGUCUGUAAGUGUAUGUGUGUGUGUCUGUAAGUGUAUGUGUGUGUGUCAGUAAGUGUGUGUGUGUCUGUGGGUCUGUCUGUGUAUGUGUGAGUGUCUGUAAGUGCAUGUGUGAGUAUGUGUAUAUUUGUGUGUAUGUGUUUCAAUGUGAGUGUGUGUGUGUGUAUGUGUUUGUCUGUGAGCAGAGUACUUGUAGAAUAGAAGAAAGAAGGUGCAGAGUACUUGUAGAAUAGAAGAAAGAAGGUGCAGAGUACUUGUAGAAUAGGAGAAAGAAGGAGUAGAGUACUUCUAGUAUAGGGGAAAGAAGGAGUAGAGUACUUCUAGU